AAAUUUAGUGUUAUUCAAUUAAGAUUUUAAAUAUUUCAUUAAAAUCCAGUAUUAUUCAAAACAAAAAAACUUGUAAAAUCCUUGUAUAUUAGUUCAUUUGAAAUGAAAUCUCUUUGGAGUUUCAUGAGUAAAUCAUUAGAAUCAAUAUUCAAGACAUAUUGCAUAGAUUAUAUUGCAUAGAUUUUGAAAUUUAUACAAACAUAUUUUUAAAAGCAACAUCAGAAAACAAAUCUAAAGCUUAAAGAAUUGACUUUAACUCCAUAAUUGAAUAACACCACCUAAUAUUACAUGCUGUAGUUUUGGAUCUGGAAAAAUUACGGAUUUCGGCCUAGAACCUUCUUAUAUUAAAA
rnacentral:sRNA from 1 species